rnacentral:lncRNA from 1 species
CUUGGUCACCAGGCUGAAGCUCUGCGGGGAGCUGACAGAAUCUUCACGAGGAGGGACUUAGUGGAAGAAAGUUAGGCCAUUAGGGCCUUGCCCUUGAAGGGGGAUAUGGAGUCACUGGCCUCUUCCUCUCUCCCUUCCUAGCAGUCAAGAGCUGAACAGAUGACCUCUGCCGCACGCUUCAUCGCCAGCCCAGAGCAAGAGGCCGGUCAAGAGGAGACUGAAACCCCAAUGAUAUCAGCCUCAGCGUUGACGAAGAUGCUUGCUGAGACCCAGCUGGCAUCAGCACAGUCAUACUCAGCCAGCUGGACUUUGUCUCAAGAGGACACCAGAAGGUGAAGAAAUGGAUGCUAUUUAUGGGAACAAUCUGCAGCCACCUCUCUGUCACAGGUCUUGGAGAAGAGUGAUGCUCAGAGGUCUGGAGAAAGCAGUUACCCAGCUUCUGCCAGUCUGCGACGGACGACCAGAUGCAGACAUUUUCUCUCCUUUAAAAAAAGUUUCCAGAGUUGAGGGUGAUGGUGCACACCUGUAAACCUGGCACUCAGGAGGUUGGGACAGAGGGAUCAAGAGUUCAAGGCCAGCCUAUGCAACAUAACAUGACCCUGUUUCAAGUCAUAAAUUCAGGUGACUGUUUUUCUAAUCACAAUUGCUAUUCUCCUCUUUCUCAAUUUCUGGUAGCCACCACAGUUGUCGACGAGUAGAGGUAUCAAUAAAGGCUGGA